rnacentral:rRNA from 1 species
GAUGAACGCUGGCGGCGUGCCUAAUACAUGCAAGUCGAGCGAACGGACGAGAAGCUUGCUUCUCUGAUGUUAGCGGCGGACGGGUGAGUAACACGUGGAUAACCUACCUAUAAGACUGGGAUAACUUCGGGAAACCGGAGCUAAUACCGGAUAAUAUUUUGAACCGCAUGGUUCAAAAGUGAAAGACGGUCUUGCUGUCACUUAUAGAUGGAUCCGCGCUGCAUUAGCUAGUUGGUAAGGUAACGGCUUACCAAGGCAACGAUGCAUAGCCGACCUGAGAGGGUGAUCGGCCACACUGGAACUGAGACACGGUCCAGACUCCUACGGGAGGCAGCAGUAGGGAAUCUUCCGCAAUGGGCGAUAGCCUGACGGAGCAACGCCGCGUGAGUGAUGAAGGUCUUCGGAUCGUAAAACUCUGUUAUUAGGGAAGAACAUAUGUGUAAGUAACUGUGCACAUCUUGACGGUACCUAAUCAAAAAGCCACGGCUAACUACGUG